rnacentral:rRNA from 1 species
UCCGUAGGUGGAUAAUUAAGUCAGAGGUGAAAUCCUGCAGCUCAACUGUAGAAUUGCCUUUGAUGCUGGUUAUCUUGAGUUAUUAUGAAGUAGUUAGAAUAUGUAGUGUAGCGGUGAAAUGCAUAGAUAUUACAUAGAAUACCAAUUGCGAAGGCAGAUUACUAAUAAUCAACUGACACUGAUGGACGAAAGCGUGGGGAGCGAACAGGAUUAGAUACCCUGGUAGUCC